AAAGGGUCCGUAGGCGGUUUGGUAAGUCAGUGGUGAAAGCCCAUCGCUUAACGAUGGAACGGCCAUUGAUACUGCCAGACUUGAAUUACUAGGAAGUAACUAGAAUAUGUAGUGUAGCGGUGAAAUGCUUAGAUAUUACAUGGAAUACCAAUUGCGAAGGCAGGUUACUACUAGUGGAUUGACGCUGAUGGACGAAAGCGUGGGGAGCGAACAGGAUUAGAUACCCGGGU
rnacentral:rRNA from 1 species